GGGCCAAGCUUAUGGGAUGUUUGGAAUAAUAAUUCUCAUACAAUGUCGAUUGAAAUGGUUGCCUGUAUUACUAUUGAAGCAAUAUCCAUUUUAGAGAAGAUGCAUUCUAAAGGUUAUGUUCAUGGAGAUGUAAA